UGCGUAGGUGGUUUGAUAAGUUAGAUGUGAAAGUCCUGGGCUUAACCUGGGGACUGCGUCUGAUACUGUUGAGCUAGAGUUCUGUAGAGGGGGGUGGAAUUUCCGGAGUAGCGGUGAAAUGCGUAGAUAUCGGAAGGAACAUCGAUGGCGAAGGCAGCCUCCUGGACAGAAACUGACACUGAGGCACGAAAGCGUGGGAGCAAACA
rnacentral:rRNA from 1 species